GACGAACGCUGGCGGCGUGCUUAACACAUGCAAGUCGAACGCUGAAGACCUGGCUUUUGUUGGGUUGGAUGAGUGGCGAACGGGUGAGUAACACGUGAGUAACCUGCCCUCUUCUUUGGGAUAACGCCCGGAAACGGGUGCUAAUACUGGAUAUUCACUGAUCUUCGCAUGGGGGUUGGUGGAAAGGUUUGUUCUGGUGGGGGAUGGGCUCGCGGCCUAUCAGCUUGUUGGUGGGGUGAUGGCCUACCAAGGCUUUGACGGGUAGCCGGCCUGAGAGGGUGACCGGUCACAUUGGGACUGAGAUACGGCCCAGACUCCUACGGGAGGCAGCAGUGGGGAAUAUUGCACAAUGGGCGAAAGCCUGAUGCGGCGACGCCGCGUGAGGGAUGGAGGCCUUCGGGGUGUAAACCUCUUUCGCUCAUGGUCAAGCCGCAACUGUGGGUUGUGGUGAGGGUAGUGGGUAAAGAAGCGCCGGCUAACUACGUG
rnacentral:rRNA from 1 species